UACGCUUUUAAUGACGGAACAUUGUGUGAAACUUUUCAUCCUGAAGAGUCUGGCUGGAGAGAGUGCGUUUCUUGUAAGAAGAAAAUUCAUUGUGGAUGUAUUAUGGCAGCCCAUACUUAUACAAUAUUGGACUCUACUGGCGUGCAAUGUAUGGAGUGUGCAAUAAACGAAUCUUUGGCACCACACCGAUGCUCACUGCACCUUGGGCGCCCUGAGGCUUUUCUGCAAGCAACGGACUCUCCUCAAAUACCAUCUGCUGACCCAGAGAAAAUGAUAACUGGGGUCAAUCCAAUUUCACCACCCGAUUGUCUUGUACGCAACGCCCCACCUAAAAUGGUAGCCAAUCCAACUACUCCCGGACAUCAAUCCCAAUCUCCACCCGCAGAAACUGAAGAAGAAGACUCUGUGAAUUCACCUGGUGAAACAAAAACACUCAUUGGAAUAAUGGUGGCAAGCGUCGUAAAGGUGGCAAUAAACGUACUCAAAUACAAAAUAAGUAUUCACCCAAGAUAAGCACAGAGGAGCUAAGGGAAAUAUGCAGACAGUCAAAAUCAAGCCUUGUUCCUUUGUUUGAGAAAGAAUUGACUUUUAGCGAUGCUGAAUCCAGGAAUGGGCGUCUUCUGUUACCAAAGAGAUGCGCAGAAGCUUAUUUCCCAAAGACUUCGGGGCAACAAGGAAUCUUCCUCAUGCUGCAAGACACGAAUGGAAAUGCCUGGAAACUUCACUUCCGUUACUGGACAAAUAAUUGUGGGAAGAUGUAUGUUCUUGAAGGGCUUAGAGAUUACAAGAUCCAGAUGAAAUGGGAAGCGGGUGAUACAGUGAGAUUUUAUAAAAGAGAAGCGGAUGGACAAUUGGUCAUGGGAUUCAAAAAGAAUCAGGCUCCCGUAGUUGUUGUGAAGAGCCCAACUGAUGCUUGAAAACGACUUUAACGUUCAAAGACCAGUGUGAACAUUUUGCUUUCCAUCGAAGCUACAAUGGUUUCAAAGCAGGUUCCAUGGACAGCUGAAAGAUGCUUGACUUCUUAGUAAGGAAAAAAAACGAGAUUAUCAGUGGCAUGCCAACACUCGUAUGAGUUUUCAUCGUAAUCUAUCUCGUCAGUUCAUAGUUUUUGGUCAUAUUACAUCGGCGAGUAUAAAACUGAAGAACAAAUGAACAGUCAUCUGAAGCAGUUGUGUUACAUCGGUUUCAGAGCAGGUUCCAUGGACAGCUGAAAGAUGCUUGACUUCUAAACACGGAAAAAAAGAGAUUAUCGGUGGCAUGGGAACACUCGUAUGUGUUUCCUCUUCUACAAAAUAAGUAAAGCGAUCCGACUGAUCAACAGUUGUCAGGUUAGAUUUCAAGUCUGAUUCCUUUCCACACUGCAUUCCAUCUAUUCCCUGGAAAAAAAAGUUUUUUUCCCACUUUCUUUUCGUGUUUCGUAAAGCUGAGAUAGAGAGAGAGAAAUAGAUAUAUAUCGUAUUCUACCAUUAGGUCUGCCAGUCAUGUCUGUAAGACAGGAUUAAAUUGAGUAUGAGCUUUGUGAAAUGCUGAAGAUAUGGUUUUAAAGGUGAAAGACCAACUUUACAAUUAGUGUCACCGAUGUUUAUCUUGCUCAAUUUCUGGUCUCGGACUGUUCGGUAGCUACAGAAGAAAAAUAUGUGAUGGGUUCUGGAAUUCCGUCAUCCUGUCGGGUAACACUGAGGGAUUCAGGUCAGGCUGUACAAUUUCCUUUUCAGUAUUUUUUUCUAAUGUUUUAAAGAUUGUAACUCGAGCCUAUUGAAUUUGUGCAGAUUGUUACUGCCUUUCCUUCAAA